GACGAACGCUGGCGGCGUGCUUAACACAUGCAAGUCGAACGGAAAGGCCCUGCUUUUGUGGGGUGCUCGAGUGGCGAACGGGUGAGUAACACGUGAGUAACCUGCCCUUGACUUUGGGAUAACUCUAGGAAACUGGGGCUAAUACCGGAUAGGAGCUCCUGCUGCAUGGUGGGGGUUGGAAAGUUUCGGCGGUGGGGGAUGGACUCGCGGCUUAUCAGCUGGUUUGUGGGGCAGUGGCUUACCAAGGCUUUGACGGGUAGCCGGCCUGGGAGGGUGGACGGCCACAUGGGGACUGAGAUACGGACCAGACUCCUACGGGAGGCAGCAGUGGGGAAUAUUGCACAAUGGGCGGACGCCUGAUGCAGAAACGCCGCGUGCGGGAUGACGGCCUUCGGGUUGUAAACAGCUUUCGCCUGUGACGAAGCGUGAGUGACGGUAAUGGGUAAAGAAGCACCGGCUAACUACGUG
rnacentral:rRNA from 1 species